rnacentral:sRNA from 1 species
AAAAAUUCAAAAAAAUCAAGACAGCCAAAUAGGUUUAUGGUUCUAAUUUUUUUAUUUUGUUCAUAAACUGCAUCAUCCUUGGAAUCUUCUACUUCUCACUCAUGAUCAAAAUUUAGGAUAGAGAAUGGUAUACGGUUUAGUCUAUUUUGAAAUAAAAGUUUAGUUUACAGAAAAAGUGGAAGUGGCGGAGUGGUUAUCGGGCAUGACUA